rnacentral:rRNA from 1 species
GCCACCCUUGAAAGAGUGCUUAAUAGCUCACUGGUCAAGUGAUUUUGCGCCGACAAUUUAGCGGGGCUCAAGCAAUCCGCCGAAGCUGUGUCAUUCGCAUCAUAACCAGGCCUUCGUGGUCCAGGUGUGCGGAUGGGUAGGGGAGCGUCGUGUGCGCGAUGAAGCGGCGGGGUGACCCAGUCGUGGAGGGUGUGCGAGUGAGAAUGCAGGCAUGAGUA